GAAGAUUGCCUGGAUGACAGAUCUGCUUUGAAGACUGUUCAGCCCUGGUGCCAAGCACCUCUCCUGCAGAACGUCAGUGGAGAGCAACAAACUGGGAGCUGGAGUAGGAGCUGCACCGACGUGGAAAGGCUUUGAUCAGGCUUGGCCCACACCCAGCUGAUGAGUGGUGCGGACACGGAUCUCCCUGUGUCCCUGUACCCUGGAGUCCCCAUUUGCCAUCCUCUUGACCCUGGGAGGUGCUGCUGGAAAAAUGGACUGUGCAGAGGAGCUCUGGAUGCUAAAACAUCUCUU